rnacentral:rRNA from 1 species
CCUACGGGAGACAGCAGUGGGGAAUAUUGGGCAAUGGGCGCAAGCCUGACCCAGCAACGCCGCGUGAAGGAAGAAGGCUUUCGGGUUGUAAACUUCUUUUCUCAGGGACGAAGCAAGUGACGGUACCGGAGGAAUAAGCCACGGCUAACUACGGGCCAGCAGCCGCGGUAAUACGUAGGUGGCAAGCGUUAUCCGGAUUUACUGGGUGUAAAGGGCGGGUAGGCGGGGACGCAAGUCAGAUGUGAAAACCACGGGCUCCACCGGUGGCCUGCAUUUGAAACGGUGUUUCUUGCGUACUGGGGCGGCAGCCGGACUUCCUAGUGUAGCGGUGA